AUAAAGUUUAAUUUAAGUUUAUUGCUUUAUUUUUAAUUGAAUUUACAUGUAAAUUUUAGUGAUUAAUUUAUUAAUUUUAAGAAUUUUAAAUAUGCAGUAAUUUAUAUUAUUUAAUUAAAGAAAUUUAGAAAUAGUUAAAUUAAGAAGUAUAAAUAAAAUUUGUGCCAGCAAUUGCGGUUAAACAGAUUAUACAAAUAAAAUUUAUUGGUAAAAAUAAAGUUAUAUAUAUAUAUAUAUAUAUAUAUAUAUAUAUAUAUAUUAAUUUAUUAGGUGAAAUUUUAAAUUAAUAUAUAUAUAUAUAUAUAUAUAUUAAAUAUUAAUAUUGAAUUUAUAAAUUUAGAAAUAAACUAGGAUUAGAUACCCUAUUAUUAUAAAUUAAAUUAUAAAAACUAUAGUAGUAUUAGUUAUGUUCUUGAAAUUAAAAAAAUUUGGCGGUAUUUUAGUCUAUUCAGAGGAACCUGUUUCUUAAUCGAUAAUCCACGAUGGACCUUACUUAAUUUUAUAAAGUUUAUAUACCGUCGUUAUAAAUAUUUUAAAAGAAAAUUAAAUUUUUAAUAAUUAUAAAAAUAAAAUAUAUCAGAUCAAGGUUUAGCUAAUAAUUAAGUGAAAAUGGGUUACAAUAAAAUUAUUUAUAUGGAAUAAAUAAUGAAAUAUAUUUAUGAAAUUGGAAUUGAUAGUAAAAUUAUAGAGAUUAAUAAUUUGAUUUUAGCUCUAAAAUAUGUACAUAUCGCCCGUCACUCUUAUUUAUAAAUAAGAUAAGUCGUAACAUAGUAGAUGUACUGGAAAGUGUAUCUAGAAUGCA
rnacentral:ncRNA from 1 species